AUUGAACGCUGGCGGCAGGCCUAACACAUGCAAGUCGGACGGUAGCACAGAGAGCUUGCUCUCGGGUGACGAGUGGCGGACGGGUGAGUAAUGUCUGGGGAUCUGCCCGAUUGAGGGGGAUCACCACCGGAAACGGUGGCUAAUACCGCAUAACGUCGGAAGACCAAAGAAGGGGACCUUCGGGCCUCUAACUAUCGGAUGAACCCAAGUGGGAUUAGCUAGUAGGCGGGGUAACGGCCCACCUAGGCGACGAUCCCUAGCUGGUCUGGGAGGAUGACCAGCCACACUGGAACUGAGACACGGUCCAGACUCCUACGGGAGGCAGCAGUGGGGAAUAUUGCACAAUGGGCGCAAGCCUGAUGCAGCCAUGCCGCGUGUAUGAAGAAGGCCUUCGGGUUGUAAAGUACUUUCAGCGGGGAGGAAGGCGAUGUGGUUAAUAACCGCAUUGAUUGACGUUACCCGCAGAAGAAGCACCGGCUAACUCCGUGCCAGCAACCGCCGCAG
rnacentral:rRNA from 1 species